rnacentral:rRNA from 1 species
GAUGAACGCUGGCAGCGUGCCUAAUACAUGCAAGUCGAGCGAACGGACGAGAAGCUUGCUUCUCUGAUGUUAGCGGCGGACGGGUGAGUAACACGUGGAUAACCUACCUAUAAGACUGGGAUAACUUCGGGAAACCGGAGCUAAUACCGGAUGAUAUUUUGAACCGCAUGGUUCAAAAGUGAAAGACGGUCUUGCUGUCACUUAUAGAUGGAUCCGCGCUGCAUUAGCUAGUUGGUAAGGUAACGGCUUACCAAGGCAACGAUGCAUAGCCGACCUGAGAGGGUGAUCGGCCACACUGGAACUGAGACACGGUCCAGACUCCUACGGGAGGCAGCAGUAGGGAAUCUUCCGCAAUGGGCGAAAGCCUGACGGAGCAACGCCGCGUGAGUGAUGAAGGUCUUCGGAUCGUAAAACUCUGUUAUUAGGGAAGAACAUAUGUGUAAGUAACUGUGCACAUCUUGACGGUACCUAAUCAGAAAGCCACGGCUAACUACGUG